rnacentral:rRNA from 1 species
GACGAACGCUGGCGGCGUGCCUAAUACAUGCAAGUAGAACGCAGUUGCGAACGGGUGAGUAACGCGUAGGUAACUACCUCUUAGAGGGGGAUAACUCUUGGAAACGCUAGCUAAUACCGCAUACUAGUAGAUGGACCUGCGUUGUAUUAGCUAGUAGGUAGGGGAAUGGCCUACCUAGGCAACGAUACAUAACCGAACCGAGGGGGGGUGUGGCCAACCAUGGACCGGGACAAGGGCCAGAACCCGACGGGAGGCCGCAGUAGGGAAUCUUAGGGCAAGGGACGAACCCUGACCGAGGCAAGGCGGGGGGAUGAAAAAAGUUUUUGGGUCGUAAAGCUCUGGUUUUAAGGAAGCGGUAUCUAACCAGAAAGGGACGGCUAACUACGUGCCAGCAGCCGCGGUAAUAC